rnacentral:sRNA from 1 species
GCUGGGCAUUGGUGGUGUAUGCCUGUAAUCCUAGCUACUUGGGAGGCUGAGAUGGGAGGAUCACUUGGGCCCAGGAGGCAGAAGUUGCUAUGAACCAAGACUGCAUCACAGCAUUUCAGCCUGGGCUACAGAGUGAAACCCUGUCUCUA